rnacentral:rRNA from 1 species
GGGUACAUGUGACCAGGGGAGGUGUUAAUGCGGGGGGGCUGUGCGUUAAUUGGAGUUGCGUGGGGGUAAUCGGGCUAGUGCGUGGUGUUAAGCGAGAUGUGCAAGCCGUGGUCGAUACCUAGGAAUAGCAGUUCGAUCUGGCGAAAUAGAGUCUUGUAGGGGGGGGUAGAAUUCCAGGUGGAGCGGUGAAAUGCGUAGAGAUCUGGAGGAAUACCGGUGGCGAAGGCGGCCCCCUGGACAAAGACUGACGCUCAUGCACGAAAGCGUGGGGAGCAAACAGGAUUAGAUACCCUGGUAGUC